rnacentral:lncRNA from 1 species
GAUACAUAAGACUUCUGUAUUGAAAAUUACACUAUGGAGUUAUUCAGAAUUUGCUGACUUUAAAGCUGGCAUGGAAGGAAGAACAGUAAUUAAAUCUGUUAUCCUCCAGAGACGGUAAUGCUUCAAGCUUUAAAAUGAGCAUAUGGAAAGACCACCUCUGACAACAAAAUGCAGAAGAGGAAGCAAUUAACGAGCAACUUAACAAUUGAUAAGCCAAGGAGAGUCUUCACAUCAUUCUCAUGGUGGUCUCAGAUGCUGGUGCGAUUCCUUUAUUUUAUGUUCUUCCCUGAUGGUGUUAGGUCAGGACCUUCUUUUCUGAUCAUUUUAAGAAAUACUCAGAAGUGAGAAGAAUGCUGAGGAAAUUUUCCUUGUCCGUUGGUUUAUAAGUAGUUCUUUUAUCAUUCUGGGAACGCCUUGGACCGAAUGUGGUUGCAGUUCUUCACUGUAGCUACUCCUUUGGAGAAAUAGUUGUAUGUCACUGAAUGCUUAAAUCUGAGCCCCAAAACUUACUUUAACACAGUGAAAAUAUUAGCAUUACAUUCAUUAUAUACUUUUUUCCUUAAAAAUAUAUCUUCCGUGAAUUCCAUAGGUGGCAAGGCAGCAGAAGAAAGCUGUUCUAAAAUAACACAUACAAAAAAAUGUGUGUAAUCCGAUAUCACUUCAAUGAAAUAUGAAUGCUGCUGUGUUUUCUUCACUGGAAUUUAAGAGGGAAUCCAGGUGCAUUUUCUUUGAAUAUUGCAAUAAAAAUAGGUAGUGCGAUAUAAAAAUUAAAUAA